GCACUGUUUACCGUUCCGGGGCCGCGCCGCGCCUGCGCGCUGCGAGCCUCCCGGGCUUCCGAGGGCGCGGCACCGCCCGCGGGCCAGGGAAUGGCGGGCGAGGGUGGCACGGACUGAGCCCCUUGCCCAGGAAUCCCUGCGGGCUUUACACCGCAGGCCCGUCGUGAAUCGCCUCGCCCUCUUCGUUACCCUGUUAGCAAGCCGGUCUGCGUUCAGGACUCAAGCUGCCUCC